UGAACUAUGCACGGACUCAUUUGAAAAGCGU
rnacentral:piRNA from 1 species